AUGAUGGAAAAGCAUUGGGCGGCGCUUGUGCAGCACAAUGGAUGUGAUGUAUGUCCAGCCGUGGAGUCCAGCUGCCACAUUCUUCUUCGUUGUAAGCUUGCAAAUGCUGUUUGGGAGAAAUUAGGCCUAUCUGACCCAGCACGGGGCUCAUCCGAUCUGCAUGGCUUCCUUCUUUCGCCAGCUACAAGACACAAGUACGUCAAGCUGUGGCACAUCCUAUUUGCAGCCUGCGUGGUUGCACUUUGGAAUGGACGUAAUGCUCGAGUUUUUGACAAUGCCAGAUGGUCGUCAGCAAAAACCUUCUCUGCAAUUGCAACUCUUAUUAGGUUGUGGUGUUUUAGAGCACCGGGGGAUGAUGAUCGAGCUGUGUUAUGUGGUUGGUUGACAUAG
rnacentral:rRNA from 1 species